rnacentral:lncRNA from 1 species
AUUAUUUCUUUAUACCGCAAAAAUCUGGAACCGAGCUGCUUCGUUAACCGCGCUUACUUCUCCCCUGACUCACUAAACCCCGCGCGUGACAUAAAUUAUUUCUCAAAUAAAAUAUUCCACUACAUCAAGUGCACCUAGUUGUAAAUACUCCGGUCAGAUCUUUACCGUUAAAGGUAAAAAAAGUACCUUAGAUUGCUUUACGGGGACACGUGAGGUUCUCAAUAGUCAAUUUGACCAGAGUUCGUAGCCAGAGAAACCAGACAUCAGACAAUAAUGAAACAAAAGUUAAUGCUCUUUAUGGAAAACAAGAAUUCUCAAUUUUGCCAUUUAUUUUUCCCAUUUUUAUACAAUUUUAUGUUAUUAAAAAAGAAACAGUAUUUCAACUACAUAAGAUUUCAUAAACUGUAUCAAAAAUUUCUGGAAAUGGAUAACAUAAUGUGGUAAUGUGGCAAUGAAAAGUAUCUAACGAUUUUUAAUUAAAUAUGACUAUUAAGUUUUAGUAUCCUAGGUGUAUGCAUGAGUAGCUGUCAUAUCAUGAAUGCCAGAAAUAAAAAAGAAGAAGAAAUGAAUCAUGUUAUAUACUUUAUGCUUUUGGACAAUUUUGUUCCCUAAUCUAUUUUCCAUGUAAGCUGAAAUAAUUUAUUUCCAGAUUCAUAUAUAGAAAUUUGAUCGUCACACAAAGUCCAAUUAAAACCCAUUAUAUCCCCCACAAAAAUGAGAACCAUGUUCCCGGAAAACGUAUAAAAAUUGUGCUGCGGCCCAACGAUGUUAGUUUACUCCCCUUGUUGAUCUGCCUGCAUUGCAAACAAUAUGAGUUUAGUGAUGUUUGGUGUUAACCUAGGAGAAGUGUU